rnacentral:rRNA from 1 species
AGCGUACACGGUGGAUGCCCUGGCAGUCAGAGGCGAUGAAGGACGUGCUAAUCUGCGAUAAGCGUCGGUAAGGUGAUAUGAACCGUUAUAACCGGCGAUUUCCGAAUGGGGAAACCCAGUGUGUUUCGACACACUAUCAUUAACUGAAUCCAUAGGUUAAUGAGGCGAACCGGGGGAACUGAAACAUCUAAGUACCCCGAGGAAAAGAAAUCAACCGAGAUUCCCCCAGUAGCGGCGAGCGAACGGGGAGCAGCCCAGAGCCUGAAUCAGUGUGUGUGUUAGUGGAAGCGUCUGGAAAGGCGCGCGAUACAGGGUGACAGCCCCGUACACAAAAAUGCACAUGCUGUGAGCUCGAUGAGUAGGGCGGGACACGUGGUAUCCUGUCUGAAUAUGGGGGGACCAUCCUCCAAGGCUAAAUACUCCUGACUGACCGAUAGUGAACCAGUACCGUGAGGGAAAGGCGAAAAGAACCCCGGCGAGGGGAGUGAAAAAGAACCUGAAACCGUGUACGUACAAGCAGUGGGAGCACGCUUAGGCGUGUGACUGCGUACCUUUUGUAUAAUGGGUCAGCGACUUAUAUUCUGUAGCAAGGUUAACCGAAUAGGGGAGCCGAAGGGAAACCGAGUCUUAACUGGGCGUUAAGUUGCAGGGUAUAGACCCGAAACCCGGUGAUCUAGCCAUGGGCAGGUUGAAGGUUGGGUAACACUAACUGGAGGACCGAACCGACUAAUGUUGAAAAAUUAGCGGAUGACUUGUGGCUGGGGGUGAAAGGCCAAUCAAACCGGGAGAUAGCUGGUUCUCCCCGAAAGCUAUUUAGGUAGCGCCUCGUGAAUUCAUCUCCGGGGGUAGAGCACUGUUUCGGCAAGGGGGUCAUCCCGACUUACCAACCCGAUGCAAACUGCGAAUACCGGAGAAUGUUAUCACGGGAGACACACGGCGGGUGCUAACGUCCGUCGUGAAGAGGGAAACAACCCAGACCGCCAGCUAAGGUCCCAAAGUCAUGGUUAAGUGGGAAACGAUGUGGGAAGGCCCAGACAGCCAGGAUGUUGGCUUAGAAGCAGCCAUCAUUUAAAGAAAGCGUAAUAGCUCACUGGUCGAGUCGGCCUGCGCGGAAGAUGUAACGGGGCUAAACCAUGCACCGAAGCUGCGGCAGCGACACUAUGUGUUGUUGGGUAGGGGAGCGUUCUGUAAGCCUGUGAAGGUGUGCUGUGAGGCAUGCUGGAGGUAUCAGAAGUGCGAAUGCUGACAUAAGUAACGAUAAAGCGGGUGAAAAGCCCGCUCGCCGGAAGACCAAGGGUUCCUGUCCAACGUUAAUCGGGGCAGGGUGAGUCGACCCCUAAGGCGAGGCCGAAAGGCGUAGUCGAUGGGAAACAGGUUAAUAUUCCUGUACUUGGUGUUACUGCGAAGGGGGGACGGAGAAGGCUAUGUUGGCCGGGCGACGGUUGUCCCGGUUUAAGCGUGUAGGCUGGUUUUCCAGGCAAAUCCGGAAAAUCAAGGCUGAGGCGUGAUGACGAGGCACUACGGUGCUGAAGCAACAAAUGCCCUGCUUCCAGGAAAAGCCUCUAAGCAUCAGGUAACAUCAAAUCGUACCCCAAACCGACACAGGUGGUCAGGUAGAGAAUACCAAGGCGCUUGAGAGAACUCGGGUGAAGGAACUAGGCAAAAUGGUGCCGUAACUUCGGGAGAAGGCACGCUGAUAUGUAGGUGAGGUCCCUCGCGGAUGGAGCUGAAAUCAGUCGAAGAUACCAGCUGGCUGCAACUGUUUAUUAAAAACACAGCACUGUGCAAACACGAAAGUGGACGUAUACGGUGUGACGCCUGCCCGGUGCCGGAAGGUUAAUUGAUGGGGUUAGCGCAAGCGAAGCUCUUGAUCGAAGCCCCGGUAAACGGCGGCCGUAACUAUAACGGUCCUAAGGUAGCGAAAUUCCUUGUCGGGUAAGUUCCGACCUGCACGAAUGGCGUAAUGAUGGCCAGGCUGUCUCCACCCGAGACUCAGUGAAAUUGAACUCGCUGUGAAGAUGCAGUGUACCCGCGGCAAGACGGAAAGACCCCGUGAACCUUUACUAUAGCUUGACACUGAACAUUGAGCCUUGAUGUGUAGGAUAGGUGGGAGGCUUAGAAGUGUGGACGCCAGUCUGCAUGGAGCCGACCUUGAAAUACCACCCUUUAAUGUUUGAUGUUCUAACGUUGACCCGUAAUCCGGGUUGCGGACAGUGUCUGGUGGGUAGUUUGACUGGGGCGGUCUCCUCCUAAAGAGUAACGGAGGAGCACGAAGGUUGGCUAAUCCUGGUCGGACAUCAGGAGGUUAGUGCAAUGGCAUAAGCCAGCUUGACUGCGAGCGUGACGGCGCGAGCAGGUGCGAAAGCAGGUCAUAGUGAUCCGGUGGUUCUGAAUGGAAGGGCCAUCGCUCAACGGAUAAAAGGUACUCCGGGGAUAACAGGCUGAUACCGCCCAAGAGUUCAUAUCGACGGCGGUGUUUGGCACCUCGAUGUCGGCUCAUCACAUCCUGGGGCUGAAGUAGGUCCCAAGGGUAUGGCUGUUCGCCAUUUAAAGUGGUACGCGAGCUGGGUUUAGAACGUCGUGAGACAGUUCGGUCCCUAUCUGCCGUGGGCGCUGGAGAACUGAGGGGGGCUGCUCCUAGUACGAGAGGACCGGAGUGGACGCAUCACUGGUGUUCGGGUUGUCAUGCCAAUGGCACUGCCCGGUAGCUAAAUGCGGAAGAGAUAAGUGCUGAAAGCAUCUAAGCACGAAACUUGCCCCGAGAUGAGUUCUCCCUGACUCCUUGAGAGUCCUGAAGGAACGUUGAAGACGACGACGUUGAUAGGCCGGGUGUGUAAGCGCAGCGAUGCGUUGAGCUAACCGGUACUAAUGAACCGUGAGGCUUAACCUU